CAGCAUUAUCUCAGUGAUCGUCUGAAGCUGUCUUUCCGAUCACAUGCAGUGUCUCCAGGAUUAGCUGUGGCAGGUCAGCAGGAGCGCAGAAAUAAACUUCAGCUUCCUCUAUGACGUCAGGCUUCACAAAUACAGACUCCAGAAAGAGAAAGCCUCCUCACAACAAACAUAGAAAACACUCAUUAGGAUCUGGUUGGAGGACAUGAUGGAGAAGCACAACAUCAGACAUCACAG